UACAGAGGGUGCAAGCGUUGUUCGGAAUUAUUGGGCGUAAAGCGCGUGUAGGCGGCUUUGCAAGUCGGAUGUGAAAGCCCCCGGCUCAACCGGGGAAGUGCAUCCGAAACUGGCAGGCUAGAGUACGAAAGAGGGUCGCGGAAUUCCCCGGUGUAGAGGUGAAAUUCGUAGAUAUCGGGAGGAACACCGGUGGCGAAGGCGGCGACCUGGGUCGAUACUGACGCUGAGGUGCGAAAGCGUGGGGAGCAAACAGG
rnacentral:rRNA from 1 species